rnacentral:ncRNA from 1 species
GAUAACAGGCUGAUGACUCUUACGAGCUCUUAUUGAUGGAGUCAUUUGGCACAUUGAUGUCGACUCAUCACAUCCUAAGGUUGAAGAAGGUCCCAAGGGUUCAGUUGUUUGCUGAUGAAAGUGGUACAUGAGUUGGGUUUAGAAUGUUGUGAGACAAUUC